UAGAGGGACUGGAGCAAUCAAACAGUGUUAGUACUAAAACUAGAUAGUGUGAUGCCAAAGGAUAUCAGGAACUCUAGAUAUGGGCACUCUAAUUGCUAAAAGGUUAAGCAGGAGGUGGCAGGAGGCUGCACAUUGAGAUACACCAUCAGUAGUUCAAACAUUCGUUACUCUAGCUUUUUACUAGGGCUCAUGAGGUUUUAUUUUAAAAUCAAGAGAAAACAACAAUCAAAUAUGUCUUCAUACAAACGCAGCAGAAAAAUACAAAUCCUAAUGUUUUAAAUGGAGAAAGUGGGCCACCAAGGCAAAAGUGCCAUAAUGCAGUCCUGCUUUUUUUUUUUUAGCAUUCAAACAAAUUUUACACCAGAACUAAACUAUUUCUUAAUAGAAAAAAUAGUAACUAGGAGCACUACAUUCUGUGUACAUACUUUUCUUUAGUAUGUAAUCUAAAAAUUUAAUAGCACAUAAAAAACUGGGCUAACUUUCAAAAAUACCCCUAAAGUAUUUAAGUAUAUGUAAAAUAAUGGAGUCUGAUUCUGAACAAAUAAUUUUCUAAUAAAAAUUUCAAAGUUCAAUGGUUCCCCUAAGUCUUAAAGAAUAUUAUCUACAAAUUAUCAGUAGCAUUCCCUCCUUUUCUGAGCUGCUGUCCACACUAUUAUACAACAGAAACUACUGCACCGCAAUCACAUGGGCAGGAAGAGGCAAGGGCUAGACAGAAAAGACUGCAUCAAACUCACGUGGUGAGAUAAAAGUCAUUAUUUCACUGUCCAUAAUAGUUUCUGCCUAGUAGUGAACUCUCACAUAGUGGCCAAUUAUACGAAGAUCAACCCACUAAUUGAACAUAGUCACACACACACACUGAAGGUUACUAUGAAGAAAUUCAGUCAAAAGCAGACACUUAACACAGGGCUUUAAUGUAACACCAUUUAGUAACAUGACAAAUUGAAAAGUGAGGAGUACUUUGUGGAUAAGAAAAUGGAGGAACACAUCUGAUGGAGAGUGGGCAUUUGACAACAAUGGAACAGGAUGCUGGACCUUCAAAAUAACUGAAAAAAGAACCAAGAAAAGGCGUUUU
rnacentral:lncRNA from 1 species